rnacentral:rRNA from 1 species
UACGGAGGGUGCAAGCGUUAUCCGGAUUCACUGGGUUUAAAGGGUGCGUAGGUGGGCAAGCAAGUCAGUGGUGAAAUCUCCGGGCUUAACCCGGAAACUGCCAUUGAUACUAUUUGUCUUGAAUACUGUGGAGGUCAGCGGAAUAUGUCAUGUAGCGGUGAAAUGCUUAGAUAUGACGUAGAACACCAAUUGCGAAGGCAGCUGGCUACACAAAUAUUGACACUGAGGCACGAAAGCGUGGGGAUCAAACAGG